rnacentral:rRNA from 1 species
GACGAACGCUGGCGGCGGGCCUAACACAUGCAAGUCGAACGGAAAGGCCCUGCUUUUGUGGGGUGCUCGAGUGGCGAACGGGUGAGUAACACGUGAGUCACCUGCCCUUGACUUUGUGAUAACUUCAGGAAACUGAGGCUAAUACAGGAUAGGAGCACCUGCUGCAUGGUGGGGGUUGGAAAGUUACGGAGGCUGGGUAUGUACUCGCGGAUUAUCAGCUUGUUGGUGGGCUAGUGGCUAACCAAUGAUUUGACGGAUAGCCGGCCUGAUAGGGUGACCGGCCACAUUAGGACUGCGAUACGACGCAGACACGAACAGGAGCCAGAAGUGCGGAAACUUGCAAAAUGGGAGAAAGCCUGAUGCAGGAACGCCGUGUGGGUGAUGACGGCCUUGGGGUUGUAAACCGCUUUCGCCUGUGACGGAGCGUGAGUGACGGUAAUGAGAAAAGAAGCACCGGCUAACUACGUG